GUGCCAGCAGCCGCGGUAAUACCGGCAGCCCAAGUGAUGGCCGAUCUUAUUGGGCCUAAAGCGUCCGUAGCUGGCCACGCAAGUCCAUCGGGAAAUCCACCUGCCCAACAGGUGGGCGCCCGGUAGAAACUGCGUGGCUUGGGACCGGAAGGCGCGACGGGUACGUCCGGGGUAGGAGUGAAAUCCCGUAAUCCUGGACGGACCGCCGAUGGCGAAAGCACGUCGCGAGAACGGAUCCGACAGUGAGGGACGAAAGCCAGGGUCUCGAACCGGAUUAGAAACCCGGGUAGUCC
rnacentral:rRNA from 1 species